AAGUCGUAACAAGGUUUCCGUAGGUGAACCUGCGGAAGGAUCAUUAACACGUAUCCACGUAUCCACCCUUCGUGCACUCGUUUAUUUCUCCCUGUUGAUUCACAUGCAUUGGCUAACUGUGUAGCGCAUUGAUUGGGACCGUUGACACGGUCGGCGCUACGAGCACACUGGAGCCGCUUCGGCGACUUCGACAAUGGUAGUGGAACGGCAGGCAACUAUGUCCAUUAGCAGCGCCUCCAUCAAGACGCCACUAAUGGAUGCUAUAUUCACACAUUUCACCCCUUUUUGCUAGUUGACUUUUUUAAUGUUGAGUUGCAUUCACGUGCAUCUCACACGUUUAAUUACUUGAACGUAAAAAUACAACUCUUAGCGAUGGAUAUCUAGGUUCUC
rnacentral:misc_RNA from 1 species